UAUCCUCUCCGACGAAAGAAACGUCGAAGACAAAGGAGGGUUCUCCUUCAUUUCCGUCUCCGGCGAGUUCUCCUUCGUCACAGGCUUCUUCCGUUUCUCCAACUCGCCGUUGUCUGUCAUACAAAAAGAACCCUAAAUCCGAUUUCAUAUUUGUCAAAUCCACCUCUCAAUCUAAGAAAAUUGAACCUAUACUCAAGCUGAGUGGUUUAUUGCUUUGAAGGGAUGUUUCAGACAGAACAUAUCUGGUGUUACUAUUGAUGCUUCUUUAGGAAAGGAAGCUUUGAUUUACUCACUCAAUGUGGUUGGUGUGUAUGUUUGUUUCUGCUACGUGAAUUACAGGGAUGUUUUAGAAAAACCAAUGCCUCAAGGGGAGAUUGCGUCUCAUUCAUUUGUAUUGUCUGUAUUAUAAUUCAUAGCAGUGGCAGCUUUGUUUCAAGUAAUUACAUUGAAAACAUUAUGGUACAGGCAGACCCAAUGAACAUCUACUGUGUAGCU